rnacentral:lncRNA from 1 species
AGGCCCAAUAUACAAACAGCCUUAAAGCGAUCCGAUAGAGUACCACAUCAGUCGGACAGAUACUUAGGUUUCUUGAUCAAAUACGGAGAUCCUGUUGAGCUCGAUGAGAACAACGAACAUCCAGUCACCUAUAUGGAUGUAAUGUAGAGGUCCAACUCUGAGAAAUGGCUAGAAGCUGUAAAAUCUAAAAUGAAGUCCAUGA